UUCCCUUCAAGAUCCCACAUGCUAAUGCUUUUGUCAGUAACACCGCAAUAUACCCUUUUGCCAUCUGGAGCCCAUCCACACGAGGUCAAACCAAGACCAUUUUUCUGGUAAAGAUGCAUGCAUUCACCGGAGUUUACAUCCCACAGUCUAACAACCUCCUCUACUCCACAAGUGAGAAGGUAAUUAUCAUCCGGAGCCCACGACAUAAAGGAUACAGCUUCCUCGUGACCAGAUAAACGGUGCUUCAAGCAUAACCUCCCAUCCAACUUCACCUGCAAAAGGGUUAAAUAAUUUAGAAGUGAACUUAAAUCUUCGGUUAAUUCUAUCAUAAAAAUUCAGAUUUUCAGCAAUAACAGCUCACUUUUUCCACGUUCUCUGAAUUACCUCUUCCAGAAAAAAGAAACAGAAAAUCCAUCUAUUUAGAUCUUUUACCAAAAAUCAUAUACACCUAUAAUAGGACUCUAAAGGUCAGAGAAUGAACGCACAUCGUAUACCAUCGUUAAAAUGGUACUGUGUGAUAGAUAAAAUAAAAAUGAAUUGAGAAUCAUUGGGGAAUAUGUUGUUGUUGUUGUUGCUGGGGAACCAAGAGUAAAUUAAAAUUGAAUUGGUAAAAUAGCUGGUGAUCUGGUUAUCUAGUUAAGACUAAUACAGGAAAGAAGACGAUCAACAUGAUUAGUGCCCUAUGCUCUGCAAAUAGGAUCUGUCGAGGAAACUAAAACUGAAUUUUGGAAAGCUAUGAGCACAUUGAUUCAAGGGAUUCCAAAUGACGAACAAAUCUUCAUUAGGGAAAAAGUUAAUGGACAUGUAGGUAGAUAUAAUGAUGUUUUUGAACCAAGCUCAUGUAAGAUAGGUUUAUAAUAUGAAGAAUAAAGGAAAGGCUACUUAAUGAUUCGCCUUGGUACAUGAUUUAGUUUUAGCCAAAAGAUACUUCAAAAAGAACGAAUCACACUCUAUAACAUUUAAAAGUAGAGGUAACUAUAACUAGACUUCAUUACUCUUUCAAAAGACAUGACAAGCCACACGUAAGGAUAGCAAGAUUAUACCAGGAGAAGCCCAGACCACCCAACCUAGACGGAGGAGGUCCUGGCUGUAAAGAGAAAGAGUGACCAGACUUGCACGCAACCAAGAAUUAGUGGUAAGCAGUAAAUGGCAAGAACCAAUUAGCACUUCAGAGAAAGCUAGAGAAGAAGGGAACUUAGAAGCAGAAGCAAAUACCCCCAGAUGAAAAUAUCAGGUUGCAUGGUGAGAAGUAACGGCAAGAACCAAUUAGCACUUCAGAGAAAGCUAGAGAAGAAGGGAACUUAGAAGCAGAACCAAAUACCCACAGAUGAAAAUAUCAGAGGUUGCAUUAAGGAAGUAGGAAGGAAGUUUUAGGUGUGUCUAAAGGUGGAAUGACAAAGAGCAAAAAGUUAUUAAAGCAAAAGGAGUGUCAUAGGCUCAUAAGAAGAUACAAAAAAUAGAAGAUGGAAAAACUCAAGCGACAAGAGAACUAAUAGGAAGCUAGGAAGACUGGUACCAAACCCCGAGGUGAAGCACGACCAAGCAAGUGGAAAUACUUUUCUAACAACCAAGCCCGAGACUAUCACAUGCAAGCCCAACUAUUUUUUACGGAUCAAGCAAGUAUAAUUUUAAAAUAAUAAUAAUAAUAAGUGGCAGUGAGUCUUGAACCAAGAGCAUCUGCCUUCUCUACCAUCUUUGAUAUUAUAUUGAAUUGUGUUACCUUCUAGUGCAAUGACGAAAAAGAAAGAAGUUGGUAUUGUUAAAGUUGCCUUUCUACUUCUACGGAGGUAGUGGUAUGGACUGCGUACAUUUUGCCCUCCCCAAACCCCACUAUGUGGGAAUACACUGGGCUUUUUGUUGUUGUUGUUGGUAUUGUUAAAGUUCUAGAGAGGAAGAGGAGUUACUCCCUCUAAAGGUUUAUCAGUUAGAAAAUGGACGAAUGACUUUCUACUGUCAUACUAGAGAUACAUCAGGGGAAUCUACAAAAGAAACAUUUCAUUUGUCGCAAUGCAUGGAAAAGUGAAGCAAAAUUAGAGCUACUUUUCCCUUCAAGAUCCCACAUGCUAAUGCUUUUGUCAGUAACACCGCAAUAUACCCUUUUGCCAUCUGGAGCCCAUCCACACGAGGUCAAACCAAGACCAUUUUUCUGGUAAAGAUGCAUGCAUUCACCGGAGUUUACAUCCCACAGUCUAACAACCUCCUCUACUCCACAAGUGAGAAGGUAAUUAUCAUCCGGAGCCCACGACAUAAAGGAUACAGCUUCCUCGUGACCAGAUAAACGGUGCUUCAAGCAUAACCUCCCAUCCAACUUCACCUGCAAAAGGGUUAAAUAAUUUAGAAGUGAACUUAAAUCUUCGGUUAAUUCUAUCAUAAAAAUUCAGAUUUUCAGCAAUAACAGCUCACUUUUUC
rnacentral:lncRNA from 1 species